CCUACGGGAGGCAGCAGUGAGGGAUAUUGCACAAUGGACGAUAGUCUGAUGCAGCGACGCCGCGUGGGCGAAGAAGGUUUUCGGAUCGUAAAGCCCUUUUCUAUGUGACGAGAUAGGACGGUAGCAUAGGAAUAAGUGUCGGCUAACUACGUGCCAGCAGCCGCGGUAAAACGUAGGACGCGAACGUUAUCCGGAGUUACUGGGCGUAAAGCGCGCGCAGGCGGUCGAGUAAGUUGCCUAUGAAAGCUUCCGGCUAAACCGGAAGAGGCUAGGUGAAACUGCCCGACUAGAGAGAGACAGAGGGAAGUAGAAUUCCGGGUGUAGUGGUGAAAUGCGUAGAUAUCCGGAGGAAUACCAGUGGCGAAGGCGGCUUCCUGGGUCUCAGCUGACGCUGAUGCGCGAAAGCGUGGGUAGCGAACGGGAUUAGAAACCCCGGUAGUCCACGCUGUAAACGAUGUACAUUAGGCGUUCGCAUGCGUUCAGUAUGUGAGUGUCGAAGCUAACGCGAUAUAUGUACCGCCUGGGGAGUACGGUCGCAAGGCUAAAACUCAAAGGAAUUGACGG
rnacentral:rRNA from 1 species